UGAGUGGCAGAGGGGAUGUGCUGUCGGGCUGACCAGCCUCCCCCCUACAGCGCCUCAGCGUGCAGGACGUCAUCUACGUGCGGGGCUGCACCAACGCUGUGCUCAUCUGGUUCAUGGAUAACUACACCAUCAUGGCGGGCCUCCUGCUGGGCAUCCUGCUCCCCCAGGUGGGAGCCCCCAGGGUCCCCUGUGCAGCUGGGUUAUUGCAGGAGUAGUGUGGGAGAAGAUGGGGGGCUCUGGGAGGGCUGGAAGAGAGGCCGGGAGGCUGGAGCGUGGGGUGUUGAGCUCUGAGGUGCUUCACAGGCACCUCCUCCUCCGGCUCUCUGUGAGGGAGUGGGACGAUCAUUCCCAUUUUGCAGAGAAGGAAACUGAGGCUUGGCGAGGUGAAGUGACGUGCCUGAGCCCUGCUAGAUGGGCCACGGCAGAGCUGGGUGGGGAGCAGGUUCCCAGCCUGCAGGGACCCUGGCUGGUGGGACCCAGGGAGGCCUCUGAGGUUUCUGGGGGGGGGGCCUGGGGAGGCCUAGGCUGGGGCUGCUGGGUCGUGGGGUGCAGGGAGGAGCUCCCGGGAGGGCUCUGCACUGGCUGCUCGUGUUUCUGGAGCCGGGACCUGCCAGGGAGGGCCGCCCUGGGGGCCGCGAGGCUCUCCCCAACCUGCCCCUUCUUCUUAGUUCUUGGGGGUGCUGCUGACGCUUCUGUACAUCACCCGCGUGGAGGACAUCAUCAUGGAGCAUUCUGUCACCGACGGACUUCUGGGCCCGGACGCCAAGCUCAGCGCGGACACAGCAGGCACAGGCUGCUGCUUGUGCUACCCCAAUUAGGGCCGGGGCCUGGACACCAACUCCAGCAGGACCUGGCUGGGUGGCACCUCUCAGUCCACUUUAGGGGCUGGACAGGCUGCACCACGGCCCUGUGCCCGGGUGGAGUGCCCCUGUGGGCGGCAUCUCCACGGCCACACACUCUGGGUUCCGUGCCCACCCUGCCAGGAGAGAGAACGUGGCGUCCCUGCUCUGGGUCUGGGCCAUGAGGGAAAGAGGAACUUGGGGCUCAGCUUGGGGCCCACUUUAUUUCCGGCGGUGCCCUGGGCUUGUGGUCAGUAGGCCCCCCUUCAAGGGCAGUUUUGCUGUGAUUUGUCAGUUUGGGGAGACAGUGGCAGGAGGGGCAGGGGGUAGCCCUCCCACGCCCCAGAUCAGGUCGGGCCAUUUCUCAGCCUCCGUAGGUGCCUUCAGCCCUCUGCAAGGGCAGCUGUUUUGCUGACCUGUUUUCAUGUUCUGUGCAGAGCCGGGCAUUUUCCCGCUUUGGCUCCAAGUCAGUUCAUUAAUCAAACAAUAAAGACAAGAUUUUUUUUUU
rnacentral:lncRNA from 1 species